GGACUGCAUGAGUCCAAAGCCUCGCUGUGUUUUAUGGGGAACAGUUAUUAAUAUUGGGUCAAAUAAUCCAGUAUUUCUUCACUCUGGUGCUGAAGGUCCGCUGCGCUGCUCUUUACUCUGUUUUCAUUUAAAGUCCCUCAGUCUUAAAACAGCGGCACUAGCGGGCCUUCAGCACCGAUAGUGAUUAUUACCCUGCCGGAUUAGAUUAGAGCAGCGCGGCGGAGCUCUGUAAGUCCCGGUGAGUAAUUUAGUUAGCUGACUGUUUCAGCUCUCGGUGAAGCGCGGUCUUAUUAUGAUACUUAAACGGCGCUGGGUGUUUGUUUUGUUUCUGAACGAGCAGGUGACGCUGCAACUGGAUUUUAUAAAGAUGUGAGAAAAGAAUGCUUUCGUCGUGGAUUUAACAUGAAAAGGUAAGCUGCUGUUAUGUUCUGAUCUGUGCAGGCAGUUUAUGCACUUAACGUAACUCCGUUAGACAACUAACUUACAGAGCUAGCGUUUGUUGUGUCUCCGGCUUAGUUUUCUGCAGUCCAUGAUUAUUACCUAAGGUGUUUAGUUUAUUUUGACCCCAAACAGCAGCAUUCACUGCAUUUUGCAUACUAUUAACUAACCGCGUGAAUCCGUUGCAAGUUAGCGUUAACUUCAUCACAAACGAGUAACGGAUUAGUAAACACACUCUUGUCUUUUUUUUGAAUCCUCACAGUUUCUGUCAGAAAACACUGAAAGAAAACUUCUCCUCUGUCUCUGUUUAUACAGCGAUGGUUUGGGUUUAAAGCUGGGUUUGUUGUGCUGGAUAUUUGGUUAGGAGCAGGAGAUUUUAUAAGAUGUGUGGCUGCAUAAUUGUAAACUGAGAUCGCGGUCUGUGAAGUUACACCCGCAGCUAACCAGUGACUUUAAAAAACAAAUAAACACAGCUGUUACUGGACUUUAUGGGUUUUAAAAAAUGAGUUAAUUACGUUUAAAAGACUAGGCUACUAAUGUUGGCCCUGCUGAGUCCAGCUGAUCAUCCAGAAAUAAACAUUACCUAUGCUGGUCAAAAGCUAUUUAAAGAGCUAACCUCCCAGGGUGUGUUUGUUUGUUUUUUUCUGGUUUUGAGCAUUUUUUUAAGGAGGGAGUGUACGUCUGUGCUGCAGUAGAAGAGUGUAAUUUUAGAAAAGUUGCUGUAUUUGUCUCACUGUCUUAGAUAGUAUAGACUUUAAACAUGUUACUAAAAAUUAACACUGGACCGUGUUUUUAAAUACUUGCCAUUCUGGAUGUCCUGAACAUUUUCAUGCAUAUUUUUUUUAUGUCGGUUAGUUUUAUUUAUAUAAAGUAAGACCUGUAGAUCUACUUUAUUGGAUAAAUUGAUACAGCUACCAUGAACUGUUUUGUUUCUGUUCUGUAAAAUCAGGCCCAGUUCCAAAAGACACAACAUCCUCAGUGUCCUGGAGCUCCAGCUGAAGCACUGGCCACUCCACCUUCUCCAUCCCCACCCAAAAGAGCUUGAUGAAUAUAUGUUAAUACAUUAAUAGCUUAAUAUUAUUACUCUAUUUGUUCUUAUUACUGACUUACCAGGGGAACUAAUUAAGGGACGGAAACACACACAGAGAAAUGUGUUGGCAGUGCUGUUGCUAAUUGUACUGAGUGUCUGCAGUGUACUGGGAGGAUUGUGCUGGGUGCUUAUUGUUUCUCAGGUGGUAAAUCAUGUUUGUUGUUGAAUGUGCAUUUUUUUUUCCUUCCCAUCUUGUAAAAUCCUGCCUUUGCAGUCCACUUUAAAAUAUUUCCAAACAGAGAGGUGUAAUACGCUCUUUCGAUCUUACAGCUGCUGCUCACACUGCUAAUAAAUAAAAAACAAACCCAGUUGAUUUUAUCGGAGCGCCAGUACCCAAACCCGACUGACUAAAACUUUCAAUCGUAACCACCUUACACUUAACGAUUGAGAUGACACGACCGCAACUCAACUGCAGCUCGACUCUAGCCAGACUCUCGUGAUUUUAUCCUGACUCUGUGAAAUAAUUGGAAAAUCGUUAGGUACCUGAACACUCUUCUCUCUUCACCCUUAAUGUAGCAGCUACCCACUGAAUAACUGUUAGCCUGUUCUAUAGCGACUGUAAUUUCCUUCUGUCUGUUUCUUACACUCUGUAGGUACUUAUAUAUUUUUUUUUAUUGAACGUGGCAGCGUGCCGACAAUCACAAGUAUUGCAAAUGUUGGGAUAAAUUUCAGCCAAUUUAACUUUACUAGAAUGUGCUCUGUGUACUCUGCAGGUACUUCUAAGGCAGCUAGUUGAAGGCGUGAUUGAGGUCCAUGCCAGAGGGGUUCUGCACUGUGACCUCAAGCCAUAGAACAUCCUGGUUCAGAUGUACAGUUAGGAACCACGCCUUCAUCUUCUGUUCUUCUGGACCUUCCUCAUGAGUGGUUUACCCAUGAGGCCAAAUCCUCCACAGUGUUGCAGAUAGGAAUCAUCCUGCUGUGUGUGAGAGGUGACCCUUCAACACCAGCACGGAGAUCACCUCAAAGAAGUCUCAGAUCAUCUCUCCACCAUCUGCUCUAUGACCCCUGGCUAAGUAUACACCACGACACAGCCACCACAUCAGGCACACCUCAGUCAGGUACCAUAUAAAACAAUAAUAAUAAUAAUUUUAAAAAAUCUAUAUUUUAUUUAUAUUAUAUCUCUAGUUUAGAGAGUUCUCUAGUAGAGCUGGGCAAUUAAUCGAUUUUAUCGAUAAAUUCGAAUUUAUAGUUAAGGACAAUGUGUUUUUAUGAAAAUCGAUUUUCUCUGAGUUUUCUUUUUCACCACAGACGCUCCUCUGUGGGCACAGAGUGAGCUUAGCUAGCUCCCUCCAUACCUCCCUCCCUCCAGCGCGCGCACCCCCCGCCCCUCCCUCACUCCCUCCCUCCCUCCCUUGCACGCACAAACACGCACACACACACACACACACACAAAACACAUGACGGCGGAGCUUAAGAGCAACUGGCUCCGUGAUCUGGAGUUGGUUCGGUUUUGCGGCGUCGGACGUAGACCAAGCUUUCUAAAAGUCACUAGAUGUUCUCACUGUUUACAAUAGUUUUUUUUGCUUGUUUCUGGUUGCACUUUAACCACAAAUGGAACAUUUUAAGUGAAAACAAAUUAAAUAAGAACUAGUUUUAACCAUUUCUUUAUCAUCUUUAGUUUGAUUUUUAGUAGGGGGAAGAAAACGAUUUAAAUCGAAAAUUGGAUUUAAAAAAAAAAAAUCUAAGAUUUUUUUUUUCGGCCAUAUCGCCCAGCUCUAUACUCUAGUUUAGAGGUUUUUUUUAUAAAACACACCUAAGGAAAAUGGCAGGUAUUAAUAAAGCUAUUGAUUCCAUACUUUUAAAAAGGUAAUGAUUUUCUUUAACUAUAUAAAUGUUUUAAUCGUUUUGUGUAUUGUAUGCUUUUAAUUGCUUCCUGUUUUGUAUUUGUGUUCAUGUACUUAAGGCUUUAAUCCUUUUAUCUUGAUAUUGUUUAUCUUUUGAUGUUUAUUAAUUACUUAACUGUAUUUAUCUUUAUGUAGUAUACUGUUAGUGUUUUAAUCCAUACACUUUUUGUAUAUAUUUCUUUUAUUGCUUAGUUACUUGCUUUAUUAAUGGUUAUUGUAUUGGUGUUUUAGUCUUAUUUUGGGCUUAUAUUCAUUAAAAACAUUUUAACGUUUGUCUUUUAGUGCUUUAAUCAAUUAUUAUUGUACUUACCUUUUACUAUUUUACUAUUAAUCUUUCUGUACUUAAUUAUACAUUAUUUUUUACUUAUUUUUUUAUAAAAUUAAAGGCGGGUUUAUUAAUUGUAUGUCUUUAUACGGGAUUUUAUAUUUGCAUUGUAUAUAUUUUUGUUUCAUUUAAUGUUUAUGCUCUUUGUCUUUUUCAGAUUUUUACAUUUUUAAUUUGUGUAUUGACCCAAGGAGUAUGGGUUCCUCUCAAGGUUUCUAUCUCUCUUUCUGAGAGAAUUUUCUUUGCCGCUGUCUCCUUUGUGCUUACUCAAAAGAGGUUUGGACACUUUUUUUUUUUUUUUUUUUUUAAACUGUUCUUAAUUUUGUUUGUUUCUUAACUUUGUCAAUAAAUGUUUUUUUAUUGCUA